AAUGAAUUUUCAUUAUAAAGAUUCUUUUUGACUUGAGCAAUAUUUUUCCUAUUAUUAUUUAAAAAAAGAAGUAAUACACAAAUGGCUAAGGAGGAAACACAUGUGGGUAUGACAAAUUAAAAUUUUAAGAAACGUUAGAUGUAAAGACAAAAAUGGAUAAUUAAACAUUAAAAUACCUUAGAUUCUGAGUUGCAGUGGAAAAGUAGGAACAAAGUGGAGAUAAUCAGCAAAGUGAGUUGGAAGAUCAAAGAACUGAUUAAAGGAGUCUAUUCAAAUUCUAAGACAAACACUAGUUGCCAACUUCCAUUGAUAACCAUUCCCCCUUUGCCACCAAAAUAAAACAGAAGAGCGUAAUUGCCUCAUUUCUUAGAAUGAACCUGCAAUAUAAAUUUACUGCUAACAACCUGCUUUCCACUCCCUCUCUUCUUCCCAGAGAACUGCUUAAUUUUUCAAAAUUUCACAAUACUGGAAUAUAAUCUUCCUUUAGUGGCAAUUAGAAAAGAGUGGAAAAUCAAUGCAACAUUCGUAUGACAGAGUUUGGUAGCGAGAGGAUCAUAACAACCUGUGUUUUCGUUAUUGGUUGUGAGGAUUUACAGCUGGGAUUAUUUUCAAAGGCUUAUUAAUAUACAAUGGAGAUGGAUGAGCAUGUACUACCUGAGGGCAGAAGAAAAUCUCAAUGAAAAAUAUGGAGUAGAAA